rnacentral:rRNA from 1 species
ACGGGAGGCAGCAGUGGGGAAUAUUGGACAAUGGGGGGAACCCUGAUCCAGCCAUGCCGCGUGUGUGAAGAAGGCCUUUUGGUUGUAAAGCACUUUAAGCGAGGAGGAGGCUACCUAGAUUAAUACUUUAGGAUAGUGGACGUUACUCGCAGAAUAAGCACCGGCUAACUCUGUGCCAGCAGCCGCGGUAAUACAGAGGGUGCGAGCGUUAAUCGGAUUUACUGGGCGUAAAGCGUGCGUAGGCGGCCAAUUAAGUCAGAUGUGAAAUCCCCGAGCUUAACUUGGGAAUUGCAUUCGAUACUGGUGGGCUAGAGUAUGGGAGAGGAUGGUAGAAUUCCAGGUGUAGCGGUGAAAUGCGUAGAGAUCUGGAGGAAUACCGAUGGCGAAGGCAGCCAUCUGGCCUAAUACUGACGCUGAGGUACGAAAGCAUGGGGAGCAAACAGGAUUAGAUACCCUGGUA